AGGAAAGGCCUUUCAGGCAUCCUCUCCUAUAAACUUAGCGGGCUGGCCUUCGGGCCGGCCCUUUUUUUGUUCCAUC
rnacentral:sRNA from 1 species